AUACUAUAAUGUAAGACUGACCCAAGAGUCUUAUUUAUUUUUUUUUUGGUCUUUUAAACAAUGGCUGUAGGGAGGGAAGCGCGACUGAUGCACAAAAACCACGUCUGUUACGAUGUACGGUGCCUGAGAGGAGAGCUGCCAUAUGCACGCAGCUCGGGAACCGUCGCCACAGACAAUCUUCACCAUCUCCCGAAGCUUCCUGGACAAACAGCGACCUGUUUCGUCGCUCAGAUUAGUCGGCGCGUUGCAGAAUGCUGUCUAAACGCCGUGCACAGUGUACGCUCUUUUCUUGUCUGGCUUUUCCCACUCCGCGUAAUCGAGAGCCGCCGUGUGGUGGGUACCAGGAGCUCCGCUGUCCGGACACAGCACAAAUUUGUUCUUCCGCUCCUCUCGUGACGGGUAUUUGAGUUUUCCGUUUCAGGUGCUAUGAGCAACAGCAAGCCCUCGUGAAGACACGUCCCUUCCUUUCUCUUGAGUUACUUCGUAAGCGUGAAAUGGCGGGAUCCUGUGGUCCCUGGACAUUUAACUGCUUAAGAAGCUGUCGCUCGCGGUUUUCCCAGUGGUCGUGCCAUUUGCAUUCCCACCAGCAGGGGACGAGUGCCUGGUGCUCAGAAGGGCUCUGACCACCUGCUUCCUGGCUGCUUGUCUUGUCUGCAGUGCGGCAGGUGUGGGCUCAGGCCCUGGACUCCUGCUGCGCACCAGCUCCCUGAUGACCACAGGGCCACUCCGCACACGGCCCUGAGUCUGCACCGCUCCACCCUCCACGGCCCCCCGGGAGCGGGCUUCGUCCUUACCCCAAACGCUUGGAGAGGUCAGCUUCGUGUCCAUUCUGCGUCACCGGUGGUACUGCUGCUGCUGAGGCCACCCGAAUCACCCUCCUGUGUUUCACAGGUGCUCCCAUGGGUGCUGGGCGAGGCGGCUCCAGAACCAAUCCCGCUGGCAUUCCCGCACGGAGACCCGGAACUUUUCUCACUGUUACAAGCACUGUCGGCCUCUGCCACGGAGUCCUGCUGGAGCCCCAGCCCCACGUCCUGAGGGCAUGAGGGGUCCCCAUGGCUCACCCUCGUGAAGCACCAGCCUGGACAGCAACGUAGCUACUUCCAUUUCCAUCAGCUCCGGACGCACAGGCAGGAUGAGCAGAGCGCAGCCUUCACCUGAAACACAGAGCAGAGCUGCCCCCAGGCCUGAGUGCCAGCACACACGCCCCCUACCUGCAGCCUUUGGGGGGGCGGGUGGAGUCUGAGAAAUGCUGCGCUCCCAUCCUGUCUGCUGCUCUCGGGGAGGCGGGGGCGCCCGACUUACGUGAGGCAGCGUGCGCGAGCCCCGGGGAUGUAGAGCCCAGCACUCCCACGGCUGCCUCCCUGACCCCGUGACCUUGCAGCCACACCAGGCUCCCUAAGGGCCCCGAGGCUCACGUGGCUGGUGCUUCCGGCUUGUCCAGCGACCGGCCGCUCACACCUGAAAUCCAAGAACCCACAGGGACAGAUCUGGACUUUGGGGAAGGGGGGAAAUGGGCCAGGCCCCGAAGCCCGGAGACGCCGCCUCGCUGGACUCCAGACAGCGCAGCCCGUUCGUCCUUCCUGUCUUGGCCAACACAUCUCCCGUGGCACCUUGGUGCCCAUCUCACUGUCCAGCCUAAACUUGCCCCAUCAGCCUGGCCAGUUCACCCGCCCUCACUGGCACUGCCAGGACCUUUGGUGCUCAAAGGUCCCCAGGUGACGGCACGUUCCUGCCAAUAUUUAGCAACUGCCACAUCUGACCCCGGGGAUGCCAGAAACAAGCAUGAGCUUAUCCAUCGUCAGUGCAGCGCCCGGGGAGCGAGGGGUUGGGUGUGCCAGGCAGACAGCUGCACGGCCACUCACUGAGCUGCCUUCAGAAACGCACGACUAGACGUGUUCACACGCUCAGGCCGACGCCUGCAGGCAUCACAGACUGGAAGCCAUUAAGCCAGGGGAAUGUCAUGGUCACAGAGCCUGGACCAAGGGUGCGGGCAGGUGGGACAGAUGCAGGAAGACUUCGGUGAGACAGUCGCUUAGGGAAGCGCUCGAGCCGCACUAUUAAGGACCAGGCAAAAAUCAAACCGCUUGUUAAUUUUUAAAAAUCAAACACUUUAUUUCCACAUAACAAGCGCAAAAAACUCCCAAACACUGUAACAAUACAAUGAACGCAGUUUAUGAAUUAUAUACUACUCCAAACCCCAGACGGUCAGUCAGCGUAACGUCCAAACGUUUCCAGACGUGGUUUUUCGAAGCUACCUUUGGUUUUUGGAAAAACCAGUAUGGAAGUCAACACACAGCGAGGGCACGGAUCAUGAGCUUACACCUGGCAAGUUGCAGCGAGACUGAAGUCACACACUGGGGACAUGCACAGGCUUUGUCCCCGAGCGCCCGCAGAGCCGUGGGGGCUGUGCCGCAGGGAAGGCCAGUCCAGGUGGUGGGAUUUCUCGCUCUGUAACAGAGGUAUGAGAGUUUAACACGAGAACACUGUCACGUCACAAGCUCCAUGUUCCGAAGGGUCUCUGGCUGAGGCUUGAGAUGGGCACAGGUGGCGGGAAGAUGAAGUCACAGAAGUUUUGAGCAGCAAGACCCCACAGGUGCUCAAAGAGGGCAGGAAGGAGCAAGCUACAGUUUCCCACGGUUCUCACAUUGUUUCAGGGUGAAAGUGUGGAUACGUUCAGAUAAAACGUUCAGAGAUUUGCUUGGAUUUUCAAUCAGCUGCUGUAUGAGAAGUCUCAUAUACAGCAACCUUGAAACUUUCAUUAUAAAAAAGAGCGUACAAAUAAAUUCACAAAAAAGAGACAAGUAAUGCUGAGCAGCCAAAAAGUCGUGGUUUAUUGUAUCUGAAGAGACUUCAUAAUUCAAACACAACCCAACUGUACAUUUUACAAUCACGUUCUAUUUGUAAACAGUUAAAAAGCCACUGACUUCCUCUGCGUAAUGGGAUAGACAGUUAGAAUCAAGGCAAUGAAAUGAUGGCAAAUUGUGUAGUUAAAAUUUUUACCCUUGUUUAGUCUCUCCUUUGACUAACAAGCAUUAUAAUACCAUUUGUGGGCAAAAGGGGGGGGCAGGAGAGAAAGACAUUGUAAAAAUGGUGUAACUCGUCAGUUUGGAACAACAUUUAAAAUUUUCUUUGUACAACGAACAAUUCUGUAAGCCCACACCUCGCUUACAGGAUGCAUAGUUACUGAUUUCGGCUUUAAGGUACAACAGUUAGACAUUAACACACUCACGAGAGCAGGAACAGAGCCACGUGAUGGAGUCACAAAAUUGUUACCCAUUUAUGGAUCAUCAGCAAAUCAUCAUCACUCACUAAUAAAAAGACAGCAUCUGAAAGCAGAAUGUCAAACUCCAGCUUGAAGCGUUUUUUUUGUGGGUUUUUUUUUUUUUUUUUUGGCAGAGAAAAUUCUUGAACACAGCAGUACAUAGUAUCAGAGCUAAAAAUUGGGGGGUUUCUUUCUUUCCUGUAAGAAACUACAAGGAUUUUUUUUUUUUUUUUUUUUUUAAACUGGGGAACUGGUUUUCCUGAGAACCAUGCUCUUUGAUUUAGGACAGGAAUAGAAAGACGAGAGAACAUGGCCAAAUGCUGCUCUUUUUUCCCAGAGAUAGAAGCAUCUUUUAAAUCAUCCUCCAUUUUUUUUUUUGUCUUUUAAAUUUUUUUUUUUUAAAUGAUGGAAGAGUAAACAUUUUUUUUUUCAAAAAACAAACAAAAAAAAUCUGUAAACAAGAAGGUUCAACGUGGGAACCUCCAAAACAAAAUGGAAAGCGUAGUCAAAGUGCAGGGCCCGUCCUGGGUGGCAGGUGGGCUGCAAGUCACAGCUGUGGCCACAGUUUUUCAAACUGCAGAGAGAAAUCUUUAGUUUCAUAACAUGGAAAAACUGGUGCAAGACUUUCGUUUAGAGUCCGAAGUCAGUAUUACUACUCGAUCUUUUAGCUCCACGACAGAUAGCACGGAAGGCAGACGUGUCCCGGCGCGUGAGCACGCACGCCCAGGACAUCCUUGAGUAAACAUCACACUGGAACAGCCGCCCCCACGGUGCCGACGAGCCGGCCAGAACAUCGCUCAGUGCAAAGGUCAAAGCUCAUACAUUGUCAGCCCCAAAAUGGUUUUGCAAAAAAAAAAAAAAAAAAAAAAGGGGGGGGG